rnacentral:rRNA from 1 species
AUGUGUAGACUCGAUGGGGGUGCCGUAACAUCACUGUUGUCUUUUACUCCGCCAUGCCCUCCAACCCUUCGCCUUCAGUGGAGUUUCGUGGAAGCCACACUCGUCACCUCGGCCGGCCGCAAACCACGACCGCAAAGGCAAAGCGGCUUGGUCCGCCGACUCCGUAGGAAUCUUAGCGGCAAACCCACACACUCGGCCUUUCGCACAGCCAUGGCGCUGUUGACGGGGCUGGGCCAUGCGGCGACGGUGGCGCAGCUAGUAGGCGCGGACGUCGGCGGGCUCAUCUCCAUGACCAUGCAGGCCGCGCUAACGGCUCAGCAGAACAGGGCGGAGUGCGAGCAGCUGGCGCGCCGGGUCCUCAUGAUAGCGCAGCUGCUCCCGCACGUGCAGCUGGCCGACGACCCGGAGGCAGUGGCGUGGCCGCUGGCCGGGCUGGGCGAGGCGCUCUGGGACGCCCACGAGCUCGUCGUGUCCUGCCAGGGGAGGAGCGCCGCCUACCAGUUCGUCAUGGCCGGCAGGACGGCCGAGAGGUUCAGGGAGGUCCGGAGGUGCAGGGCAGGAUCGACUCCUACCUCAUCCUAUUCCCCGUGA